rnacentral:ncRNA from 2 species
UUCUUAUCAAGAGAGACUGAGGGAUUAGGCCCAAUGACGUCCGGCAACCUCCAUAUGGAAAGGUGCCACUUCCUGCAGAAUGAACUUCAUUCUGAAAGAUAAGGU